GUAACUAUUCGAGAAAAUGCUAAGAGUAAAAGUCAGAUGAUCAACAACAAUGUAAGACUUAUCCUUUGAUUAGAAAUGUCUCUGUUCAUAAACAUUCACCUCAAGAAGGUUGGUCUUCUGCAACUCCUCAAAAAAUACCUCCUUCAUUAACCCAUAUUCACUUAAGCCCAAGAAGUUUUGGAUGCAUCAAUUUCCUAAACCAUAUAUAUAUAUAUAUAUAGCUAUUAUUAAAUUAAAAUUGAUUUUCAUAAAAUAUUAAAUUAAAAACUUUUUUUAAAAUUAUAAACAUCAUUAUUUAAAUAAAAUAAAAUGAUUUACGAGGUUCGCAUAUUUGGGAGAAAAUUCCAUUCUAUAGACAAAUCUUACCAUCUAUCAACUCGUUUUCCUUCCUUCCCG
rnacentral:lncRNA from 1 species